AUAUAUAUAGUAUAAUAAUUACAUUUAACUUCCAAUUAAAAAAUUUCAAUAGAAUAUAUAUA
rnacentral:tRNA from 1 species